UACAGAGACCUCAAGCGUUAUCCGGAAUCAUUGGGCGUAAAGCGUGCCGAUAGGUUGUUUUGAAAGUUUUGGGUAAAAGCCAGAAGCUCAACUUCUGAGUUUGCUCAAAAUACUGCAAGACUAGAGGGGCAAAGAGGUCCUUGGAACGAAUGGUGUAGUAGUGAAAUGCGUUGAUAUCAUUCGGAACACCGAAAGCGAAGGCAGAGGACUGGGUGCCACCUGACACUGCUAGGACGAAAGCGUGGGGAGCGAAUGGG
rnacentral:rRNA from 1 species